AACGAACGCUGGCGGCAUGCCUAACACAUGCAAGUCGAACGAGACCUUCGGGUCUAGUGGCGCACGGGUGCGUAACGCGUGGGAACCUGCCCUUAGGUUCGGAAUAACUCCCCGAAAGGGGUGCUAAUACCGGUUAAUGUCUUCGGACCAAAGAUUUAUCGCCUUUGGAUGGGCCCGCGUUGGAUUAGCUAGUUGGUAGGGUAAAAGCCUACCAAGGCGACGAUCCAUAGCUGGUCUGAGAGGAUGAUCAGCCACACUGGGACUGAGACACGGCCCAGACUCCUACGGGAGGCAGCAGUGGGGAAUAUUGGACAAUGGGCGAAAGCCUGAUCCAGCAAUGCCGCGUGAGUGAUGAAGGCCUUAGGGUUGUAAAGCUCUUUUACCCGGGAUGAUAAUGACAGUACCGGGAGAAUAAGCGCCGGCUAACUCCGUG
rnacentral:rRNA from 1 species